rnacentral:rRNA from 2 species
AAACUUUCUACAACGGAUCUCUUGGGUCUGGCAUCUAGGAAAAACGCACCGAAAUGCGAUAAAUAAAGUGAAUUGCAGAAUUCAAUGAAUCAUCUAAUCUUUGAACGCACAUUGUGCCCCGCGGGAUUCCCCGGGGGAUGCCUGUUCGAGCGUCACUA